rnacentral:rRNA from 1 species
GACGAACGCUGGCGGCGUGCUUAACACAUGCAAGUCGAACGGUGAAGCGCCUUCCUUUUUGGUGGGUGUGGAUGAGUGGCGAACGGGUGAGUAACACGUGAGUAACCUGCCCCCUUCUUCUGGAUAACCGCAUGAAAGUGUGGCUAAUACGGGAUAUUCUGGGUCUGUCGCAUGAUGGGUCUGGGAAAGAUAUUGUUUCGGUGGGGGAUGGGCUCGCGGCCUAUCAGCUUGUUGGUGGGGUGAUGGCCUACCAAGGCGGUGACGGGUAGCCGGCCUGAGAGGGUGGACGGUCACACUGGGACGGAGACACGGCCCAGACUCCGACGGGAGGCAGCAGUGGGGAAUAUUGCACAAUGGGAGCAAGCCUGAUGCAGCGACGCCGCGGGAGGGAUGGAGGCCUUCGGGUUGUGAACCUCUUUCGCCAGUGAAGCAGGCCUGCCUCGUUUGUGGGUGGGUUGACGGUAGCUGGAUAAGAAGCGCCGGCUAACUACGUG